GACGAACUUUGGCGGCGUGCUUAACACAUGCAAGUCGAACGGAAAGGCCCUGCUUUUGUGGGGUGCUCGAGUGGCGAACGGGUGAGUAACACGUGAGUAACCUGCCCUUGACUUUGGGACAACUUCAGGAAACUGGGGCUAAUACCGGAUAGGAGCUCCUGCUGCAUGGUGGGGGUUGGAAAGUUUCGGCGGUUGGGGAUGGACUCGCGGCUUAUCAGCUUGUUGGUGGGGUAGUGGCUUACCAAGGCUUUGACGGGUAGCCGGCCUGAGAGGGUGACCGGCCACAUUGGGACUGAGAUACGGCCCAGACUCCUACGGGAGGCAGCAGUGGGGAAUAUUGCACAAUGGGCGGAAGCCUGAUGCAGCAACGCCGCGUGCGGGAUGACGGCCUUCGGGUUGUAAACCGCUUUCGCCUGUGACGAAGCGUGAGUGACGGUAAUGGGUAAAGAAGCACCGGCUAACUACGUGCCAGCAGCCGCGGUGAUACGUAGGGUGCGAGCGUUGUCCGGAUUUAUUGGGCGUAAAGGGCUCGUAGGUGGUUGAUCGCGUCGGAAGUGUAAUCUUGGGGCUUAACCCUGAGCGUGCUUUCGAUACGGGUUGACUUGAGGAAGGUAGGGGAGAAUGGAAUUCCUGGUGGAGCGGUGGAAUGCGCAGAUAUCAGGAGGAACACCAGUGGCGAAGGCGGUUCUCUGGGCCUUUCCUGACGCUGAGGAGCGAAAGCGUGGGGAGCGAACAGGCUUAGAUACCCUGGUAGUCCACGCUGUAAACGGUGGGUACUAGGUGUGGGGUCCAUUCCACGGGUUCCGUGCCGUAGCUAACGCUUUAAGUACCCCGCCUGGGGAGUACGGCCGCAAGGCUAAAACUCAAAGGAAUUGACGGGGCCCCGCACAAGCGGCGGAGCAUGCGGAUUAAUUCGAUGCAACGCGUAGAACCUUACCUGGGUUUGACAUGGAUCGGGAGUGCUCAGAGAUGGGUGUGCCUCUUUUGGGGUCGGUUCACAGGUGGUGCAUGGCUGUCGUCAGCUCGUGUCGUGAGAUGUUGGGUUAAGUCCCGCAACGAGCGCAACCCUUGUUCACUGUUGCCAGCACGUUAUGGUGGGGACUCAGUGGAGACCGCCGGGGUCAACUCGGAGGAAGGUGGGGAUGACGUCAAGUCAUCAUGCCCCUUAUGUCCAGGGCUUCACGCAUGCUACAAUGGCUGGUACAGAGAGUGGCGAGCCUGUGAGGGUGAGCGAAUCUCGGAAAGCCGGUCUCAGUUCGGAUUGGGGUCUGCAACUCGACCUCAUGAAGUCGGAGUCGCUAGUAAUCGCAGAUCAGCAACGCUGCGGUGAAUACGUUCCCGGGGCU
rnacentral:rRNA from 1 species